UACGUAGGGUCCGAGCGUUGUCCGGAGUUACUGGGCGUAAAGCGCGCGCAGGCGGCUCGGCAAGCAUGGCGUGAAAGCCCCCGGCUCAACCGGGGAGAGUCGUCGUGGACCGCCGGGCUUGAGGGCGGCAGGGGUUGGUGGAAUUCCCGGUGUAGUGGUGAAAUGCGUAGAGAUCGGGAGGAACACCCGUGGCGAAGGCGGCCAACUGGGCCGGCCCUGACGCUGAGGCGCGAAGGCGUGGGGAGCGAACGGG
rnacentral:rRNA from 1 species